UACAGAGGUGCCGAGCGUUAGGCGGAAUCACUGGGCUUAAAGCGUGUGUAGGCGGACGUCUAAGUACCUUGUGAAAUCCCACGGCUCACCCGUGGAACUGCUGGGUAUACUGGGCGUCUUGAGCCACCUAGGGGCCAGCGGAACAAAUGGUGGAGCGGUGAAAUGCGUAGAUAUCAUUUGGAACGCCAACGGUGAAAACAGCUGGCUGGGGGUGUGACUGACGCUGGAGACACGAAAGCCAGGGGAGCGAACGGG
rnacentral:rRNA from 1 species